AAGCAGGACCCUCUCUUUCCCAUUCAAAGCACUUCUGGGUCUCGAAGGACUUACCAGCCUGAAUCCAGCAACAGGAUCCUGCCAAAGACUUUUGGCCUGGCCCUGGAAAUCAAAUAUCUUGGUUUGCAUGGCUUCAGAUGUAAGAAACACAAUGGUGUCGAGCUGCCUUUGAAGGAACUCAGCUGGGUGCCUUUGCUUUACCAGGAAGGUUUAGCUGCAGAGGGACAAACCACCCAUCCGUUACUCACUCAUA
ensembl:lncRNA